rnacentral:rRNA from 1 species
GACGAACGCUGGCGGCGUGCUUAACACAUGCAAGUCGAACGGAAAGGCCCAGCUUGCUGGGUGCUCGAGUGGCGAACGGGUGAGUAACACGUGGGUGAUCUGCCCCUAACUUCGGGAUAAGCUUGGGAAACUGGGUCUAAUACCGGAUAGGACAAUCGUUUAGUGUCGGUUGUGGAAAGUUUUUUCGGUUAGGGAUGAGCCCGCGGCCUAUCAGCUUGUUGGUGGGGUAAUGGCCUACCAAGGCGUCGACGGGUAGCCGGCCUGAGAGGGUGGACGGCCACAUUGGGACUGAGAUACGGCCCAGACUCCUACGGGAGGCAGCAGUGGGGAAUAUUGCACAAUGGGCGCAAGCCUGAUGCAGCGACGCCGCGUGGGGGAUGACGGCCUUCGGGUUGUAAACCUCUUUCGACAGGGACGAAGCUUUGGUGUCGGUACCUGUAGAAGAAGCACCGGCUAACUACGUG